GCUGGGUGUGAUGGUGCAGGCCUGUAAUCCCUACUUCAUGGGGGAGGUGGAGGCUAGUGAAUCAUUUGAGCUCAGAAGUUCUGAAUAUUUGGAGGGCCAAGCCAAUCAGAAGUCUACAAUAAAUCCUAUAUGGUGAGCCCCUUGCAAGGGCUGGAGGGUAGAGGUUUUCUCUAGGCUGCUAAGGAGAGGUGAACCACUUCAGUUUGGAAACAAAGCAGGUUAAAACUCCUGUGUCCAUCAGUAGUGAGAUUGGGAUUGUCAGUGGCCACUGCUUUUCCAGACUAAGUGAGAUAGGGAGACCCAGUUCCAA
ensembl:misc_RNA Metazoa_SRP Metazoan signal recognition particle RNA